CCUACGGGGGGCAGCAGUGGGGAAUAUUGGACAAUGGGCGAAAGCCUGAUCCAGCCAUGCCGCGUGUGUGAAGAAGGUCUUCGGAUUGUAAAGCACUUUAAGUUGGGAGGGAGGGUUGUAGAUUAAUACUCUGCAAUUUUGACGUUACCGACAGAAUAAGCACCGGCUAACUCUGUGCCAGCAGCCGCGGUAAUACAGAGGGUGCAAGCGUUAAUCGGAAUUACUGGGCGUAAAGCGCGCGUAGGUGGUUUGUUAAGUUGGAUGUGAAAUCCCCGGGCUCAACCUGGGAACUGCAUUCAAAACUGACUGACUAGAGUAUGGUAGAGGGUGGUGGAAUUUCCUGUGUAGCGGUGAAAUGCGUAGAUAUAGGAAGGAACACCAGUGGCGAAGGCGACCACCUGGACUAAUACUGACACUGAGGUGCGAAAGCGUGGGGAGCAAACAGGAUUAGAUACCCCCGUAGUCC
rnacentral:rRNA from 1 species